AGCCCUGAGGUGUUACACGUAAGAUUGCAAACCUUAAGAAGCAGAGUUACACCUGCCGGGGCUU
rnacentral:tRNA from 1 species